rnacentral:lncRNA from 1 species
UAAUUAUCUUAAUAUAAUUUUAAUUAAAAUCCUAAUUAAAUCUUAACCAUAUCUUAUAUUAAAUUCUAAUUGAAACCAUAAUUGAACCUUAAUCAAAUCUUAGGUCAAACCCUAAUGAAACCUUAAACCUUAGAUAAAUUCUAGAUAAGUUUUAAACCAAAUCUUAAGCAAAUCCUAUUCCUAAUCAAAUCCUAGAUCAAAUCCUAAAUCAAACCUUUAACUAAAUCCUAAGCAAAUCAUAGACCAAAACUUAAACCAAACUCUAAAUCAAAUCCUAGUCAAAUCCUAGAUCAAUUCCUAAGCCUUAACCAAACUAUAGAUAAACUCUAAAUCAAAUCCAAUAGUAAAAUAGAACUUCAACAAUUAAUAAUCAAACCAUUGAUAUCAAUUCAAAAUUUUCAUAUUUCUUAAUAUCUUAAUUAAAAACAAACACAAGAAAGAUGAAAUCAAUUA